rnacentral:rRNA from 1 species
UGGGGAAUAUUGGACAAUGGGCGAAAGCCUGAUCCAGCCAUGCCGCGUGUGUGAAGAAGGCCUUUUGGUUGUAAAGCACUUUAAGUGGGGAGGAAAAGCUUAUGGUUAAUACCCAUAAGCCCUGACGUUACCCACAGAAUAAGCACCGGCUAACUCUGUGCCAGCAGCCGCGGUAAUACAGAGGGUGCAAGCGUUAAUCGGAAUUACUGGGCGUAAAGCGCGCGCAGGUGGUUAUUUAAGUCAGAUGUGAAAGCCCCGGGCUUAACCUGGGAACUGCAUCUGAUACUGGAUAACUAGAGUAGGUGAGAGGGGAGUAGAAUUCCAGGUGUAGCGGUGAAAUGCGUAGAGAUCUGGAGGAAUACCGAUGGCGAAGGCAGCUCCCUGGCAUCAUACUGACACUGAGGUGCGAAAGCGUGGGUAGCAAACAGGAUUAGAUACCCUGGUAGUCCACGCCGUAAACGAUGUCUACCAGUCGUUGGGUCUUUUAAAGACUUAGUGACGCAGUUAACGCAAUAAGUAGACCGCCUGGGGAGUACGGCUGCAAGGUUA